CCUACGGGAGGCAGCAGUAGGGAAUAUUGGACAAUGGGCGCAAGCCUGAUCCAGCCAUCCCGCGUGAAGGAUUAAGGCCCUCUGGGUUGUAAACUUCUUUUCUCUGGGAAUAAAAACCGGUAUUCAUAUUGGCUUGAAGGUACCAGAGGAAUAAGCACCGGCUAACUCCGUGCCAGCAGCCGCGGUAAUACGGAGGGUGCAAGCGUUAUCCGGAUUCACUGGGUUUAAAGGGUGCGUAGGUGGCUUUGUAAGUCAGUGGUGAAAUGCCGCAGCUCAACUGCGGAACUGCCAUUGAUACUGCUUAGCUUGAAUCACGUCGAGGUGGAUGGAAUAAUACAUGUAGCGGUGAAAUGCUUAGAUAUGUAUUAGAACACCGAUUGCGAAGGCAGUUCACUAGGCGUGUAUUGACACUGAGGCACGAAAGCGUGGGGAUCAAACAGGAUUAGAUACCCUGGUAGUCCACGCCCUAAACGAUGUAAACUCGACAUUAGCGAUAUACUGUUAGUGUCCAAGCGAAAGCGUUAAGUUUACCACCUGGAGUACGAACCGCAAGGUUGAAACUNAAUUAGAUUGNGNGNGAGAGNGCGAGGACGACGACGAGGGAGGAGG
rnacentral:rRNA from 1 species